rnacentral:rRNA from 1 species
UACGUAGGGUGCGAGCGUUAAUCGGAAUUACUGGGCGUAAAGCGUGCGCAGGCGGUUUUGUAAGCCAGAUGUGAAAUCCCCGGGCUUAACCUGGGAACUGCAUUUGAAACUGGCGGGCUUGAGUGUGGCAGAGGGGGGUGGAAUUCCGCGUGUAGCAGUGAAAUGCGUAGAGAUGCGGAGGAACACCGAUGGCGAAGGCAGCCCCCUGGGCCAACACUGACGCUCAGGCACGAAAGCGUGGGGAGCAAACAGG